ACUUAAAUAGUUUAAUUGAAAAUGUUGACUUGUGGUGUCAUUGAUAUAAGAUUUAUUUUAGGUC
rnacentral:tRNA from 1 species